CGGGCGUCCCUAGCAACCGCCAGAUCUGUUCUCCCCAGUUGCACUCCUCCACCCCUGAGGUCAUUCCUUCACUGUCAUUGGAGACUACUUCUUCAGGAUUCCAGCUCAUCCUGACGACCAGCCGGGAUAUCCAACCUUGUGGACUGAACAACUACUGGAUUCUUAGACUUCCAAUCAGUAGAAAGCCAUUACCAGACUAGCUGGACCAUAGUCUGUAAAGAGUACAGUGGGAAGGAUACAGUUUUAUCCUUAAGCAGACUCCUACUAAAAGAACAGCAUACUUGGAUUGGACACAGCACAGGAGACAGCACUUUAUUAUUUCUAAGGUGUUAAUAUAUAAAUGAGCCAGUGCACAGUGAAGUCUACAGACUGCGCCAUCUUCAGACUAGAAAGUGUUAAGCAAGCCAGAGGGGCCUCCAUCCCACAAAGCCUACUAAAGCAGAAGAGGGAUCCGUAGAGAACUUUGGAGAUCCAGUGAGUGGCAGACCCCGUGUCAAGAAGAUAAAGUGGAGAGGAAUUGAACAUGUUGCUGCGUAGAAGACCAGAGGAGGAUGUCUGGUGAUGUGGGAAGAGGUGUAUUAUUAUAUAUGCAGGUAGGUGUGUACAAGUGUGUGUAUUCAGGUAGGUAUGUGCUAGUGUGUAUGCAGGUAGGUGGGAACUAGUGUGUGUGCAGGUAGGUGCAUAUAAUUGUGUGUGCAUGUAGGUGUAUACAAGUGUGUGUGCAUGUAGGUGUAUACAAAUGUGUGUGCAUGUAGGUGUAUACAAGUGAGUGUGCAGGUAGGUGUGUACAAGUGAGUGUGCAGGUAGGUGUGUACAAGUGUGUUUAUGGGUAGGUGUAUACUAGUGUGUGUGGAGGUAGUUGUAUACAAGUGUGUGCAGAUAGGUGUGUACAAGUGUGUAUGCAGGUAGGCACAUGUACUAGUGUGUGUGUGUGUGUGGGGUGUGUGUGUGUGUGUGUGUGUGUGCAGGUAGGUGUGUACAAAUGUAUGUGGAGCUAGGUGUACUAGUGUGUGUGUGUGCAGGUAGGUGUAUAUAAUUGUGUGUGCAUGUAGAUGUAUACUAGUGUAUAUGGAGGUAGG
rnacentral:lncRNA from 1 species